rnacentral:rRNA from 1 species
GACGAACGCUGGCGGCGUGCCUAAUACAUGCAAGUCGAACGCUUUUUCUUUCACCGGAGCUUGCUCCACCGAAAGAAAAAGAGUGGCGAACGGGUGAGUAACACGUGGGUAACCUGCCCAUCAGAAGGGGAUAACACUUGGAAACAGGUGCUAAUACCGUAUAACACUAUUUUCCGCAUGGAAGAAAGUUGAAAGGCGCUUUUGCGUCACUGAUGGAUGGACCCGCGGUGCAUUAGCUAGUUGGUGAGGUAACGGCUCACCAAGGCAACGAUGCAUACCCGACCUGAGGGGGUGAUCGGCCACACUGGGACUGAGACACGGCCCAGACUCCUACGGGAGGAAGCAGUAGGGAAUCUUCGGCAAUGGACGAAAGUCUGACCGAGCAACGCCGCGUGAGUGAAGAAGGUUUUCGGAUCGUAAAACUCUGUUGUUAGAGAAGAACAAGGAUGAGAGUAGAACGUUCAUCCCUUGACGGUAUCUAACCAGAAAGCCACGGCUAACUACGUGCCAGCAGCCGCCGUAA